UCCCUAGUGGCUUACACGGUGAAGUGUCUGCCUACUAGGCAGGAGACCUGGGUUGGAUCCCUGGGUGGGGAA
rnacentral:tRNA from 1 species